GGUUUAAUCAUAUUAGUGAAGAUUAUAAAGGAGCUUUAAAAUUGCAACGCUAGCGUGUAGUGCUAGAAUUGUUCAGAGAGCGUUCAUAAGAAAUCCAUUAUCACAGAAAACUAAAACAAAGAAAGAAUUCACUUACAGGCAAAAGAUGCCAGUGAUCAAUAUUGAGGACCUGACGGAAAAGGACAAAUUGAAGAUGGAAGUCGACCAGCUCAAGAAAGAAGUAACACUGGAAAGAAUGCUGGUCUCCAAAUGUUGUGAAGAAGUAAGGGAUUAUGUUGAAGAAAGAUCUGGCGAAGAUCCACUAGUAAAGGGUAUCCCAGAGGACAAAAAUCCCUUCAAGGAGCUCAAAGGAGGCUGUGUGAUUUCAUAAGAAAAAAAAAAAUCCUUGGAAUAUCUUGAGCUUUAAUGACAGUACUAGUUUUUGGUCAUAUAUAAGAAUUCUAUUAAGCAUAAGUUGUUAUUUCAGGACCAUGGAUUACUAGGUAAAAAGGAAUGAGGUAAGAUUAUAGGGAAACAAAAGAGACUCCUGGCAUAGCCUUAGCAUUUGGCUCUUCAACAAAACUUCCUGGUACCAGUAGUGAGAAUGAGUUAAGUAUACAUACUGCAGUAUAUACCAUUUGAGAUACUUGCACUUUGAGGGUAUUUUGUACACAUAAGUGAGUUUAAACUUUAGCAAGAAAAAAAAAAAAAACAGUUAUUCUAAUUUGGAUUGAUUUGAUUUGAGCCAGAUUUGAAAACAAGGCUAAUAUCAAACUUCCUAAAUUCUUAAAACAAUAUUAA